UACGUAGGGUGCGAGCGUUAAUCGGAAUUACUGGGCGUAAAGCGUGCGUAGGCGGUUUGUUAAGUCUGCUGUGAAAGCCCCGGGCUCAACCUGGGAACUGCAGUGGAAACUGGCAAGCUAGAGUGUGUCAGAGGAUGGUGGAAUUCCCGGUGUAGCGGUGAAAUGCGUAGAGAUCGGGAGGAACAUCAGUGGCGAAGGCGGCCAUCUGGGACAACACUGACGCUGAGGCACGAAAGCGUGGGGAGCAAGCAGG
rnacentral:rRNA from 1 species